GAAUUAUGCUCGUGUGGGGCAUGAACUGGCCGAGCAACAAGGACGCCCUGCGAGAAGAGAUGAAAUAUAUGUUAGAACACACACGCGUAAGAACAAAGAAGGGGAUAUUGUGCCUCUACCUGGAGCAGAAAUAUUCAUUAAUAAAUUUGAAGAAGCUGUUGCUGAGAACCCAGAACUGAAGGACAGAAGUAUUGAAGAUGGUGAUUUAUAUGCACAUGUUUUUGGAGAGAAAGAACCAAGAGGUCGUAUUCGUGGUUUAGGCUUA